UCAUGAAAAAGGCAAAUCCGGUGAAAGCCGGGGACGCAAAGCUACAGGGGCUAACGUGCACAUCCGUGCACUAUGCCAGCCAGUUACCAAA
rnacentral:ncRNA from 1 species